rnacentral:rRNA from 1 species
UACAGAGACCUCAAGCGUUAUCCGGAAUCAUUGGGCGUAAAGCGUACCGAUCGGCGGUGCCAAAAGUCCGGGGCGAAAUCCAGGAGGUCAACUCCUGGCUCGCUUUGGAUACUAUGGCGCUAGAGGGGCAAAGAGGUGCUUGGAACCAGCGGUGUAGCAGUGAAAUGCGUUGAUAUCGCUGGGAACACCAAUAGCGAAGGCAGAGCACUGGGUGCCAUCUGACGCUGCUAGGACGAAAGCGUGGGUAGCGAAUGGG